rnacentral:rRNA from 1 species
AGCAGCCGCGGUAAUUCCAGCUCCAAUAGCGUAUAUUAAAGUUGUUGCAGUUAAAAAGCUCGUAGUUGAAUUUCGGGGUUCUACCGUUGGUCGGGCAAUUGUCUGUACUGGCGUGUGGAAUUUCUACUUUCUGGGGAACCAUCAUGUUAUUAAUUUAGCAUGGUGGGAAACCAGGACCUUUACCUUGAAAAAAUUAGAGUGUUCAAAGCAGGCUUACGUCUGAAUACAUUAGCAUGGAAUAAUAAAAUAGGACGGUGGUCCUGUUUUGUUGGUUUCUGAAUCACCGUAAUGAUUAAUAGGGAUAGUUGGGGGCAUUUGUCAGAGGUGAAAUUCUUGGAUUUAUUGAAGACUAACUUCUGCGAAAGCAUUUGCCAAGGAUGUUUUCAUUAAUCAAGAACGAAAGUUAGAGGAUCGAAGACGAUCAGAUACCGUCGUAGUCUUAACCAUAAACUAU